CUGAAAAAAAAAAAAAACAGAAAACAUCAUCCCUGAGGAAGGAACACGAAAUUCAAAUGAAAUCUUUAAAGAUGCAGUACGAUGAUGUACACAAAAAACUGGAAGAAGACUUGGAGAUGCAAAAGUCUAAGGAGGAGAAACAGAGAAAAUUACUACAAUUGCAAUGGAAAGUAAUGAG